UACUUCCCAUAGUUCACUGCGCUCGUAAUGGUUCUUUCUCUUCUACUGUAACCUCUGUAGAUAGGAAUACAGUAUAUUGUGUUGUGUUAUCUUCGGGAAUUCUCAGAACUUUGAGGAACGACACAUUAAACCUUUAGAUCGAUAU